UGUUGAGGCCGUUGGAUAGGACUUUGGGAUGUUUUAACCCAAGUUUGGGUUGAAAAUAACUCUCUUUUUUAACCCAGCGGGGUGGGUUGAGGACGCGGACGUGAAGGAGAGCACGCACGUCACGUCAAAAUCGUACGUCUCCAGUGCGAGCAGCCGCCAUUUUCUCAGCGUGAUAGAAGCGAGAAGUGAGUGAAAGACUAUGACUUGUCCAGCUCCUGUCUUCAUUGUCCUCGCGUUGAGAGUUAAAGACACAGAAGCUGUUUGUGUGAGGAGUCACAGACCUGUGUGAGGAUGAGGAGGAGGUGUUCUUCUGAAGAGAGGGACAGACGGUUUAAGGAGAGUAAACUUCAGAAUAACAUCAAGUUAUCUUUAUUUUUACUCAGACUAAAAUAAUGUGUGUGUUUUUUUUAGAUGUUGAAAUCCAGAGACAAGAUAACUUCAUUCUUUUGAGACUGAUAACUCAAACUAACUGGAGUUAAGGACACACAAGUGCUUGUGUGAGGAGGUGGUUUUCUCAGCUUCUUCUGAAGAGAGGGAAGGAUCGUUUAAGGCAAGUAAACUUCAUAAUUUCAUGUUAUCAGUUGUUGUUUUUUUACUAAGAGUAAAAUAAUGUUUGUUUUUGUAGAUGUUAAAAGCAAGAGACAUGGGAGAGAAUCAUUCCUUUGAGAUUUUAUGUAAGUUAUUUUUAGAAAAUAAAUUUUUCUGUUGUCUCCUGCCAGUUUACUUCACAUUUUGAUGCAACAACAGUGUAAUUACGUGCUCAUUUCAUUAAGACCAUUGAUGUCUGUGUUUUUUAUUGCAGAACUCAAACCAACUUUGGAGUUGUCUGAUUUGGAGAGUCAUUAUUCUUGGUCUUCGCUCUUAGAGGUAAAGUUCACACAAAAAAUAAUUUACUUGCCCUCAAGUCAUUCCAAACCUAUAAGACUUUUGUCUGUCUUUACAACAUAAAUUAAUAUAUUUUUAGUUUUCUCAUAAUAUUUGUUAAUCCAUUUAUAGUUUAGAUGAUCAGUAUUUUCAAGCUUCAUAAAUAUAGAGUUAUUGUAGAAGUAAAUUCUGAUAUUUAUAUAUGAAUACAUCUUAAAUUAUAUGAUAGCAAACAUGUAUGUUCAAAA